UUCUAGUUUUUUUUUUCGGGUCUCAGUGAGAACUGUGGGGGGUGUGCAUUAUACACACAAUUUGGAGCGUGCAUAAGGGAGCUUGCUUCCCCGAAGUUAGCGGCGGGACGGGUGAGUAACACGUGGGUAACCUGCCCGUAAGACUGGGAUAACUCCGGGAAACCGGGGCUAAUACCGGAUGGUAUUUUGAACCGCAUGGUUCUAAAAUAAAAGGUGGCUUCGGCUAUCACUUACAGAUGGACCCGCGUCGCAUUAGCUAGUUGGUGAGGUAACGGCUCACCAAGGCAACGAUGCGUAGCCGACCUGAGAGGGUGAUCGGCCACUCUGGGACUGAGACACGGCCCAGACUCCUACGGGAGGCAGCAGUAGGGAAUCUUCCGCAAUGGACGAAAGUCUGACGGAGCAACGCCGCGUGAGUGAUGAAGGUUUUCGGAUCGUAAAACUCUGUUGUUAGGGAAGAACAAGUACCAUUUGAAUAAGGCGGCACCUUGACGGUACCUAACCAGAAAGCCACGGCUAACUACGUGCCAGCAGCCGCGGUAAUACGUAGGUGGCAAGCGUUGUCCGGAAUUAUUGGGCGUAAAGGGCGCGCAGGCGGUUUCUUAAGUCUGAUGUGAAAGCCCCCGGCUCAACCGGGGAGGGUCAUUGGAAACUGGGAAACUUGAGUGCAGAAGAGGAGAGUGGAAUUCCACGUGUAGCGGUGAAAUGCGUAGAGAUAUGGAGGAACACCAGUGGCGAAGGCGACUCUCUGGUCUGUAACUGACACUGAGGAGCGAAAGCGUGGGGAGCGAACAGGAUUAGAUACCCUGGUAGUCCACGCCGUAAACGAUGAGUGCUAAGUGUUAGGGGGUUUCCCCCCUUAGUGCCGCAGCUAACGCAUUAAGCACUCCGCUGGGGGGCGG
rnacentral:rRNA from 1 species